CCGAUGACGAGGAAGUAAUGUUUCUUUCCUUCGGGGCAUCGGAGACAGGUGGUGCAUGGUGUCGUCAGCUCGUGUCGUGAGAUGUUGGGUCAAGUCCCGCAACGAGCGCAACCCCUAUCGUUAGUAGCCAGCAAGUAAAGUUGGGCACUCUAAUGAGACUGCCGGGGACAACCCGGAGGAAGGUGGGGAUGACGUCAAAUCAUCAUGCCCCUUAUGACCUGGGCUACACACGUGCUACAAUGGCGCAUACAAAGGGAAGCGGAGCAGUGAUGCCGAGCAAAUCCCAAUCAAGGCGUCUCAGUUCGGAUCGUAGUCUGCAACCCGACUACGUGAAGCUGGAAUCGCUAGUAAUCGCGCAUCAGCCAUGGCGCGGUGAAUACGUUCCCGGGCCUUGUACACACCGCCCGUCAAGCCGUGAAAGCCGGGGGCGCCUGAAGUCCGUAACCGCGAGGAUCGGCCUAGGGCGAACCUGGUAAUGGGGCUAAGUCGUAACAAGGUAACCUA
rnacentral:rRNA from 1 species